GUUUGGAUCAUUCCAUCCAAACACGGAAACCAUAAAGUAAUAGUUUUAUAAAAUAACAACAACACGAUAGUCUUCCGUGUUUGGAUGGUCUGAUCCAAACACGGGUUUCGACCAAUCAGAAUACGCGUUAUAUACAUGUUAUUUUAUAAAUAUUUUUCAUUCAUUACAAGGUUGUGUGGUGACUGGUGGUGUUUAUAAUAUUUCGACUUAAUUGAAAUAAUAGGAUACGGUACAUUCUAAUAUCAAGUACAUUAAACUAAUUGCACUUCCACUGUUUUGCAUUCACAAACAAGCAUGACAAUACUGCCAGCUAAUAUCUGAUCAUUUCAAGUAAAAAUAUUAUAGACAUUCAUACAAUAUCAAAACAUUUGUUAACCUGAAGCCACAGUAUCCUGGACCACAGUAUAGGGAAACAAGUGGGAAUUAUUUAAGCUAGGUCCCAGCUAGGUGUCUUACGCGGCUAAAAUCAUUACUCUGUGAUACAAUUUUAUAGUGAACUUCUACCAUUUACUGGCUGCCAAUAUGUAAAUUAGGUUGGCAGCCAGUAAACAAUGUUGAUACUUUUUUACGCUGAGUGGCCCUACUAUUGUUUCCCUAUACUGUGUCCUGGACUGGGGUAAUUUUGAUUUACGUUGGACAAAGCUACAGUUCGGUACGGGCACCAAUACACUCGGGUCGGACAAACAAUAAACCCGAGUUUCACUAAUUUGGUCUGACAGAAUGUCCAGUGGUUUCUUCUUUACAUCGGACAAUUUAACAAAUGGGUUGGACAAUGUCUGUGACCAACCGAUAUUUUAAGUCUGAAAGUUAUUAAUUUUAUGGAUUUAACCAAUCAACAACCGAUCACUAUCCAGUUGAUAGAAUGACCCAGC